GACGUAGGGGGCCAGCGUUGUUCGGAAUUACUGGGUGUAAAGGGUUCGUAGGCGGUGUGGCAAGUCGGGAGUGAAAUCUCUGGGCUCAACCCAGAGUCUGCUUCCGAAACUGCUGUGCUUGAGUGUGGGAGAGGCGCGUGGAAUUGCAGGUGUAGCGGUGAAAUGCGUAGAUAUCUGCAGGAACACCCGUGGCGAAAGCGGCGCGCUGGACCACUACUGACGCUGAGGAACGAAAGCUAGGGUAGCAAACAGG
rnacentral:rRNA from 1 species